rnacentral:lncRNA from 1 species
UGUCUUUCUCAUCUUUCAUUUCUCAAUUUCUCAUUUCAGUUUUGACUUGCUCUUAUGUUUUGAACAGAUUUUUAUUCUCUACUCUUGAAUAACACUUCUGAAAAAGCUUCUUGUUUGUAUAAAUGCUACCUGCGCUAGUACAGUAUGCAUCCUUGUAACAGCUUCGUGUUUCCUUGCAGACGGGGGAUAACAUUUUUACUACUGAUAAUGGAGACGAGAGUUCUUUAAUUCAUGAGCUUUUUGAAAGGUUUCCAAGAAUACCAGGCAAGGAAAUGAAAUCUGCAUCCCAAGGAAAUGAUCCCUUUCCAAAAUUGUUAAUCUUUCCUUAUGACAUGUUUUGGAAUACAAAUGUAUCCAGAGGGGGUUUAUUCAGCAAUAUGUUGUGUUCAUGAAUAAUAUGGAUGCAAUCUGGCCCUGUCAUGUAAGACUAUAAAAACAGACAAGCGAAACAGACUUGCUUAGAAUCACAGGAAAGGCUCUGCAGUCCUUUCACAAGAUCUGUCCAGAACUAAGCUAAACAACUCAUUGGAGAGCAUACUGCAGGGAGUCAUUACGAACUGGCAGAAGAGAUGGACAAGAUGACCUAAUGGGUUUUUUCCAUCUGAUUUCUGUGAUUCUGUAAUUCCAUCUUGAUAUGUGACCAGAAGAGUUGACAGUUACAUCUGCAGUCUCUCAUAAAGUUACUGACUCUGCCCACGGAAUAGAUACAAAAUUUUUAAGGGGAAAACAUCAGAUGUGUAUUAGAAAUAGAGGGUCGGUGUCAAGUUUGGAUUGAGAAUUCUCCUGAAAAGCCAUAAAUGCUUUCAUUGCAUCUUCAUUCCCAAAGAUUGGUCUUAGUUUAAAAGCACAGUGAAGAUGUGACCAGAUAUUAUGCAGAAAGAUAGCGCAUUAAAAUAAAAUU